UUGUCAAAAACAUAAAAAAAAUUUCUCAAUGAAAAGUUCAUUAAAGUGGAAAAGAGCCACCCCCAUAUACCCGACAGAUCAUAUCAUUUCAUCAAAGGCUCGGGAAGUAAACGCUUUGUAUGGAUUUAAACCAGAAUAUGAAACAGAAAAGCGUCCGCAUAUUCGCUUCCUGCUCUCAAAUGAAUAUAUGCGGCUUUGGUUCAGAGAAAGAGUGCUCUAUCAAAAAGAGAAUUACUCCAAGCAGGAGAAAACUAAGAGCGAUGGAAAGUUACAACGUGGCUAUGUUCAAUGGAAUAUGGCAAACACCAGGUCAAAAUGUAGAGAAUUGCCGAAAAUUCAACUGAAACGUUUUCAGAAUGCGAUUUCCAAAAUUGAUACUAGAAGAACGGUAGAAGAAAAAACAAAAAUAUGCGAAAGAUACAAGAAAACUAUUGCACCAGUAAUCCAAGUACAACGUUAUAAGCCGGCAUGUGCAGGAGUAACAUCCAAACAAAAGAGUACCACUGGUACUCCGCAGAAGACACAGAAGAAAGGUGUUAAAGAGCCAGAAUCACCAUCUAAACAGGAUCCACUAGUCGACGACACCAAUGACUGCGCAUUUGUUUGUAAACUCAUAAAUUAAUUUAAAUUAUAAAUACAACAAAAAUGUAUAAUACAUAUAUUAAAUUUACAAUGUAAACGA